CACGUAGGGCGCGAGCGUUGUCCGGAAUUAUUGGGCGUAAAGAGCUCGUAGGCGGCCUGUUGCGUCCGCUGUGAAAGCCCGGGGCUUAACCCCGGGUCUGCAGUGGAUACGGGCAGGCUAGAGGUAGGUAGGGGAGAAUGGAAUUCCCGGUGUAGCGGUGAAAUGCGCAGAUAUCGGGAGGAACACCGGUGGCGAAGGCGGUUCUCUGGGCCUUACCUGACGCUGAGGAGCGAAAGCGUGGGAGCGAACAGG
rnacentral:rRNA from 1 species